rnacentral:rRNA from 1 species
GUCCACGCCCUAAACGAUGUCAACUGGUUGUUGGGUCUUCACUGACUCAGUAACGAAGCUAACGCGUGAAGUUGACCGCCUGGGGAGUACGGCCGCAAGGUUGAAACUCAAAGUAAUUGACGGGGACCCGCACAAGCGGUUGAUGAUGUGGUUUAAUUCGAUGCAACGCGAAAACCUUAACCCACCUUUGACAUGUACGGAAUUCGCCAGAGAUGGCUUAGUGCUCGAAAGAGAACCGUAACACAGGUGCUGCAUGGCUGUCGU